UCGAAAUAAAUAUGAACAGGCUGUUGCUGGUCGGAAGACAUGUGCACGCUUGUCUUCUUUAUUUUUCCAACUGUGCACAUAUUGUAUAUGUUACAUUUUAACAACGCGUUUUGGAAUGUCGGGUACUGGGGAUAUAACAAAUAUA
rnacentral:misc_RNA from 1 species